GUGAUAUGUAAAUCACGGUAGAGGUGAUAUAAAUAAUAACUUUAAGUGAAAAAAUGGGGUUUGUUGUGUUCGCAGGUUUACAAUUUGAUUCGAUAUGCCUAAGUUUUUGAAUGCUAUGAGUGAGAUGCGAAGACGGCGGAGACGAAGACAUGAAAAUGAGCUAAGGUUUAAUUGUCUGGAUUCAAAACAAGAAAAUAGAACUAAAACAUAUAACGCUCAACCAAAGGUUGUAGUAAAUAUGGAUGUGUGUUCCCCGAGGAACAGCUCUACAAUUGAAAACAGCAACUUUCAAUCAACCAGCAACUUUCAAUCAACGACUGUAGUAAACAGUGAACCAUUAGAAUACGACGAUGCCAUUUACUUAACGCAGCUAAACUCUAAAGAUGUGUGUACCUCUGACCACAGCAAGGUUGGCCAAUUGACAUAUGAUAAAGAUCAAGAAUUUCUUUACAUUAAGUCUGAAGAGAUCGCUGAUACAUAUAACGCUCAUCCAAAGGUUGUAGUAAAUAGUCAAUCCGAAUAUGACAUCCCCACAACUCACGUAAAUUCUAUGGAUGUGUGUUCCUCGAAGAACAGUUCUACAAUUGAAACCAGCAACUUUCAAUCAACGGCUGUAGUAAACAGUGAACCAUUAGAAUACGACGAUGACAUUUACUUAACGCAGCUAAACUCUAAAGAUGUAUGUACCUCUAACCACAGCAAGGUUGGCCAAUUGACAUAUGACGAAGGUCAAGAAUUUCUUUGCAUUAAGUCUGAAGAGAUCGCUGAGGACAAGACUCCAGAAGUAACUGAUAAUUUCAUGCUAUACGAAAUAAAUGCAAGAAAUCCGGUAGUACUGAAUGUAAAUCAACUUAAUACUGAGUUUGACAAACAUACAAAAAAUCAUGCGUCUGAAAUUGUAGUUACACAACAUCUACAGCUUCCACGUUCUGAAAAUUCAAAAAUUCGAAUACAAAAUGCAGCAACGUCAAAAAUUGCUACUGCUAAUGGCACAACAACCAACCGAUUAAUCCCUCAAACACCAUAUUUUGUGGAAAUACCCGGAAAAUCAAGCUUACAACAGAAAGCAUCGAGCGGAAGAAAAGUGGCUUCUUUAAAAAUAAACAAAACUCCCCAUGCAAAAAUGCUAACAAACUUCAGCGAAGGGACGAGUAAGUGCGCUUGUCAUUUAAAUCCAAUGAAAAACGUCGAUGUUCAUAGCAAUUUAGAACUGAAAGAUUUCUUUGAAAGAAUGUUUGAGGAGACGCGCAAAUUGAAACUCGAAGACCGUCAAACGAUUAAAACAGAAUUGCUCAAAGCAGUUUCUCAAGCUCAAGAAGACGUGGAAGCUGGAAAGUUUUGUGAAAAGUGCUAUACAAUGUUGGCACAACCAAAGAAGAGAUGUUGACGAAUGAUUGUGGAAAUCUCAAAUUACAUAAUUGAUUUCAAUACACGCUUACAAAAAUGUUGUAUUAUCUGCCUGAUAAGCAAGCUUCCAAAGGACUUCAACCGAGCUGCAUUUCUUAACUAGCAUAGACACCGCUUACGCGGUUAUAGUAGGACACGAGCUAAAGUUGUACAUAUGUAUGUAUGUUUAUUCAAAGAGGGGACCAUUGAUGAUUUAAAAUACUGAUUUCUCAUUUCAAAGGUCGACCAUAAAUGUUUCGAAACAUUCCAGUAAAUAGAAUUCCAGAAAUGUGACCUUGAUAAUCGCAAUGAAAAACUAAAACGAGGUAAUUUGGUAAUCAAAUCUCGAGAUCUGGAUCUCUCAAAUGGAACAAAAUCUAAUGCAGCUCACAAAAUAAUUAAAAAAAAAAUGUCUUUCAAUAAAACUUGUUACUCGCUUGAAUUGAAAAAAUGUCAGUAUUAAAAGAAUACAACCUUUUAUUGACCGAUUGACUUCAGUUAAAAAUCAAUAAGUGAAAAAAGAAAGGACUUAAUCAUGGGCACAAUGAACAUUGAGCCGUACUCGUUUUAAUGACUUGAAGUUGUGGGUAGUAAGGCGGUAUAUUUUCUGUGCUGAAGGUCAUUCUUAACAUCCGGUCACACUUAGUUACUACGCCAUAGCCGGUCCCAAGCCCGUGUUGAAAAAGGAAGCGUCUCGGUCUCGGUCGUCUGGCAGCCGAAACCAGUACACACGUCAGUGUUACUAAUGCCGAAAACAAUCAGCUUCUCAAAAUUGAAAAACAAGUACGAAAUCCGGAAGAAAAAUACCAAGUCCCUAGCGAGGUACCCAACGAAAUAAUCAGCAGUAGUUCAACAGUUCCAAGCAUCGAUAAAAAGUUUGUAAUAACCGGUAGUGGCGAGGAAACGAAAAAAAAGAUCAUAUAGGGCAGCUAACUGUCCUUUCAACUACGCCGUAAUCGACCUUGGUCGUUCGGGAGGCAGUAUGUCAGCGAAGCAGCAAACUUUGUUCGAGUCGGUGUUCAGCGAUGGUCUAACGGCCCUAAUCCCGUCGUCGUCCUCGGACAUAUCUGUCUUCAAGAUAGAUAAUGCGCCCUUGAAAAAGGUAUUUUUUUGACUAGCCAUUAAGAGGAUGUGGACGCCAUCCGUUCCAUGGUGAAGGGUUUUCCUGAAAUGUGCGGGAAAAUGUCGUGGGGUGUAUAACAAUGAAAAUACGUUAGGGGAUAGCGAGAUGGAAAAGAAUCUGGAAGAGAUCCUAUAAGCCACCUUGAAGUUCCAAGACGCAAGUAAGGGUGAGCCGGUGACUUAACCCGACACCGAAAAUAAACCCGAAUUCAACCGUGAAGACUCUUCAGACAAACCUGAAAUAAUGGCAAGGUAGCCUCUGACUUUAAUUCUGUAACCAUGGAUAAUCUCGGGAAAUAUGGUAUCUAGACUAAAGUCGCCAACAUACUAGUCGAACUUUCCGAGGGCAACAAACAAGAUGACCUAACUGUGGUAGUCGUAAAAGAUGGCAAGGAUAAGACACACUCCCUGUAUCCAGUUACAAGACCCAUGGUUAUGAAAUACCACUAUUCCAGUAGAACUCCGAAGGUUGCUGGAUGCGGCUGAUAAGACGAAAGAACUCCGUUGAUAGGCACGGACGCCGAUGAGCAUAAAGUCAAACAUACUUGUAUAUGCGGAGAUUCUCAUACUCGGUAUCUUAGGAUUUGAAAAAGUACCAUUUGGAAUUCAAUUCGUCUCGUCAAUCUAAUCAUAUUGAUAUACAAACAUAAUUCUAUAUCUUCAUUGAUGCAUUGUGCAGAAUACGCUGAAAAUCGUUACGUGACAACUGCUAAAGAAAAAAGAGGCACCGAACGUCUAACAGCCAAGAAGAUAGAGAUUUAGAAAUUCAAUUUGCAUCAAGAGCUUUUUUUUUAGUAUACCUUCUGACAACAAUUGUGUAAGCAGCGAGGAAGAAGACAUCGAUGAUAACUGCUUUAACGUGACCGGAAUUGUUUUCUCCAAAAAACACACAAGCGGAAGUUUUGCAAAAUAAGGAAUCUCCUUUGUCGAGUAAUUCCUAAAAAAAAACGCCUAAAACUGUCACGAAUGUAAAACGAGUUUCACCGAAGUGAUGACAAAUAGUUCGGCUGGUGAUAAAGAUGUGCCUAUUGCUAGUGCUUUGGUCAUGAAAAAUUCCACUUUCACUUGGUUGGUUUUCGAAAUCUUGGCAUAUAAAGCUUUAUCGGCUGGCCUGUCGGGAAGUGGCGUUGGCUCAACCGAAUAGAAAGUAGCUACAUUGGUCUAUGAAGACGUUUUAAAGGCGCGCCAAAUAUCUGUAAUAUCAUCUGUUAUAAAUCCGACUGAGCAAAUCUCAUGGUCCAUCUCAAUAUAAACUGUAAUAGGAAUAUUUGAAGAGAUAAAUAUGCGUCGCGACUUCUUCGUAAGCAACUGUUUACUAAGUCACGUUCCAAUUCAAUAGUUCGAUUUAUGGAAGGGAAUUUUUAUGACUUCUAAACGCUAUUACUAAUUCAAGAGUUCAAGUUAUGGAAGUUUAACUAUUUAAAAUAUAUAAUAUUGCCAUGGUAAAUCUAUCUAUUCUAUCUAUUUACACCUAAUAAGAUCAUGUACCAUUGAAUGGAACAAAUAAUAAUCGGACGGUGCAUAAUUUUUAAUGUGUUUGGAAAGGUUAGAUCGAGCGUUGUCAUCAAGUAGCCUUACUUUUUGUGUCUUUCCUACUAUUGAGGUCAUAAGGAACCGAUGCGCCUUAUUUCUGAAUUAUUCUCAGCGUAUGUAGGCGCUUUGAGAUUACUUGGUGAGUGACUCCCUAUGCUGAAGUAAGCUCUUCCUGCGUUUGACACAGAUCCUCAACGAGCAACGACACCAAAUCAGCGUUUUCGAAGGUUUUUGGCCUUCCUUCACGCGGUCGGUCGUUGAUAACAAAAUCGCCGUCUUUGAAACAACGAAACCAAUCACGGCAUAUGGUUUCACUUUGAGCAGUAUCUCCGAAAAUUUUUUAGAGUCUCCGAUAUGCUGCAGCCACCGAUUUCUUUGACUGAAAGAAGAAAAUCAAAACUUUUUGCAAAUGACGUGUAUUUGGCAAAAAUAUUCAAGCAACCGAAAGCAUACAUAUGUCACAUAAACAACGUCACUAAUGUAGAGACACAGUUUCUAGGUUAAGUUUAUCACCUAGGAUAUGCUUGUACAUAUUAAAAUCAAUCAUCACUAACCGAUGAAACCAGAAA
rnacentral:misc_RNA from 1 species